rnacentral:rRNA from 1 species
GACGAACGCUGGCGGCGUGCUUAACACAUGCAAGUCGAACGGAAAGGCCCUUCGGGGUACUCGAGUGGCGAACGGGUGAGUAACACGUGGGUGAUCUGCCCUGCACUUUGGGAUAAGCCUGGGAAACUGGGUCUAAUACCGAAUAGGACCACGCGCUUCAUGGUGUGUGGUGGAAAAGCUUUUGCGGUGUGGGAUGGGCCCGCGGCCUAUCAGCUUGUUGGUGGGGUAAUGGCCUACCAAGGCGACGACGGGUAGCCGGCCUGAGAGGGUGACCGGCCACACUGGGACUGAGAUACGGCCCAGACUCCUACGGGAGGCAGCAGUGGGGAAUAUUGCACAAUGGGCGCAAGCCUGAUGCGGCGACGCCGCGUGAGGGAUGACGGGCCUUCGGGUUGUAACGUACUUCUAUAGGUACGGAAGACGUGAGUGACGGUA